UACGUAGGGGGCAAGCGUUGUCCGGAUUUAUUGGGCGUAAAGAGCGUGUAGGCGGCCAGAUAGGUCAGCUGUGAAAACUCGAGGCUCAACCUCGAGAUGUCAUCGGAAACCAUCUGGCUAGAGUCCGGAAGAGGAGAGUGGAAUUCCUGGUGUAGCGGUGAAAUGCGCAGAUAUCAGGAAGAACACCAAUGGCGAAAGCAGCUCUCUGGGACGGUACUGACGCUGAGACGCGAAAGCGUGGGGAGCGAACAGG
rnacentral:rRNA from 1 species